rnacentral:tRNA from 1 species
UGGGCUGUAGCUCAAGGGCAGAGCGCUGGAUUGUGGCUCCAGAUAUGCGGGUUCGAGUCCCGUCGGUCCACCCA